ensembl:lncRNA
CAGACACAAACUUUAUUUUCUUCUCCCUUCCUUGGUUUUCUCUCUCCCACUCACUCCUGUGCUCACUUCCUCACACACACACACACACACACACACACACACACACACACACACACUCCCACAGUCCUCUACUGGGGGUGGGCUGGUUCCUACACGUAGGCUUUUUUCACUCUCUGCCUGAUCUGCCUAACAUCUGGUGGGACUUUAUCACUUCCACUUUGGCCAGCGAGAGGACCGCAGCAGAAAGACAGAGAAGAGAGAGCGAGCGAGAGAACGAGAGAAAGAAAAGAAAGAAAGAAAGAGACCGAGCCCACCAGCCACCUCAGCCUGCUCUCCCUCUCACACAGAUUGAGAGCCUGCCUUCCAAACCGCGCACAGGGAACCUGAGCGCACUGAAGAAGCGCUGGGAGCAGUCCCGCCAGCAGGAGGCGCCGUUGGACCCACCUACCGCCGCCGCGCCCCGCAUCCGCCUCGUCGCCACGGAGACGACACAGUCCAAACCCAGACCCCUAGCCCAGGCAGAACCCACCUCCUCUUCCUCCUCCUCCUCCUCCACUGCAGCACCCCAUCAGAGCAGCCUCAGGCGCUCCUUCUCCCUCAGAAACCCACCCCGGGCAGAGAAGAAGAAGGAGGAGAAGGAGGAGAAGGCCGCGGUGGCAGCAGCAGCCGGAGCAGCAGGUAGAGGAAGCGGAGAAGCGUCAGGAGGAAGCAGAGGAAUGGAGCAAGCCGUGGAGAGGCCGUUUGAGGAGGAGGAGGCGGUGCUGGAGGAGAGGAGCGGGGGAGGAGACGUGGGCUCCCCCCCCCUGAGCCCCCUGAGCCCCCUGGAGAAGCCCAGCGUCCCACUGGGCAGCCUGAAGAAGAUGUUUGAGAAGGGGGAGAGCAAGGGGCGAACCAGAACGUCCUCUUCCUCCGAGGACAUGGACAUACGUGUGGGAGACAGAGGUCUGUCUUCACUAGAGACCACUUCUCUGCGUGACAGGAUGGCCAAGUACCAGGCUGCAGUUUCUAAGGUCUCACCCACCCCUUCACGCACAAACAGCCAAUCAGAAGCAGAGAGCAUCAGUCCAAGCGCCGACCACAAGGAGAAUGUGCCUCCGGGCAGUGUGGGAGUUGGAGUGGUCAGUACCUGUGUGUGUGUGUGUGUGUGUGUGUGUGUGUGUGUGUGCGCCUCCGGGCAGUGUGGGAGUUGGAGUGGUCAGUACCUGUGUGUGUGUGUGUGUGUGUGUGUGUGUGUGUGCGCCUCCGGCCAGUGUUGGAGGUCAGUACCUGUGUGUGUGUGUGUGUGUGUGCCUCCGGGCAGUGUGGGAGUUGGAGUGGUCAGUACCUGUGUGUGUGUGUGUGUGUGUGUGUGUCUUUUGAGUAAUGAAGAACUUGCUCUGCUGUGCUAUGUACAAGGCAUAUCAUAAAUGCUCUGCUGUGAGUUGAAUUCUUUGCUCUGGAUUUCACACCAAGGAACAGUUUAUGUUUCCAUUAAGUCUUUUGUCAAAUGUUGUGAAGGCAUUCUUUGGCAAAACAGCCAUUUCCUUUUUUAAUAAUGUAUUCUCCCCUUUCGUUCUCUCUCUCUCUCUUUGUCACUCUCUUUCUCACACACACACACAUACAGAGCAAGUUCUCUGAGAUGAAUGGCGCCAAAACUAAUGGUGAGUAAUCCUCCCACUUCCAUACACAGAGACAGACACACACACACACACACACACACGCGCGCACAUACACACCCCCGACAUAGAAGUCAGCAGGGCAUCUCUUGCUUUAGUUUCCAUUGGCCCUCAUAAAUUGGGGUCAAAGUGCAAGACGGCAAGCCCACUGGCUUCAUUGUGACUCAGCCUCCAAAAAUGCCACAGGGAGGUGUAGUUCUCCUGAAGCUGAAAGGAAAAAAAUACGUUACAUCUCUCCAGACAGAAAUCAGUAAAGCCACUUUUUUUUGUACCCAGCACAGACUGACUCGCCAUAAAAAUAUGAAUAACUUUGUUUUAAUGGUGCUGUAUGGACACUUGGAGUGGUGAUUUAAAAAGGUCUCUUGUCGCAUUUUCAGGGUUAUUUCUCCCCCUGGUGGUA